AGUGGGUGUAGCGUACCUACUAGCCUACGACGGGUACGGGUUGUGAGAGCAAGAGCCCGGAGAUGGAUUCUGAGACACGAAUCCAGGCCCUACGGGGUGCAGCAGGCGCGAAAACUUUACAAUGCUGGCAACAGCGAUAAGGGAACCUCGAGUGCCAGGUUACAAAUCUGGCUGUCGAGAUGCCUAAAAAGCAUUUCAUAGCAAGGGCCGGGCAAGACCGGUGCCAGCCGCCGCGGUAACACCGGCGGCUCGAGUGGUAACCGUUAUUAUUGGGUCUAAAGGGUCUGUAGCCGGCCGGAUAAGUCUCUUGAGAAAUCUGGCAGCUUAACUGUCAGGCUUUCAGGAGAUACUGUCUGGCUCGAGGCCGGGAGAGGUGAGAGGUACUUCAGGGGUAGGGGUGAAAUCUUGUAAUCCUUGAAGGACCACCAGUGGCGAAGGCGUCUCACCAGAACGGACCUGACGGCAAGGGACGAAAGCUAGGGGCACGAACCGGAUUAGAU
rnacentral:rRNA from 1 species